AGCCUUUGUGUUGCCUGUUCACCUUUGGUCACUAAUGAAUGUGGUGUCAAAAAAGGCAUAAAUUAAUGCUUUGCAGCCGUUGCUUACCCAGGAGUUAAGCAUCUUGGGUGUAGGUGCUUUGUAAGUAACAAAA